GACGAACGCUGGCGGCGUGCUUAACACAUGCAAGUCGAACGGAAAGACCCUGCUUUUGUGGGGUGCUCGAGUGGCGAACGGGUGAGUAACACGUGAGUAACCUGCCCUUGACUUUGGGAUAACUUCAGGAAACUGGGGCUAAUACCGGUUAGGAGCUCCUGCUGCAUGGUGGGGGUUGGAAAGUUUCGGCGGUUGGGGAUGGACUCGCGGCUUAUCAGCUUGUUGGUGGGGUAGUGGCUUACCAAGGCUUUGACGGGUAGCCGGCCUGAGAGGGUGACCGGCCACAUUGGGACUGAGAUACGGCCCAGACUCCUACGGGAGGCAGCAGUGGGGAAUAUUGCACAAUGGGCGGAAGCCUGAUGCAGCAACGCCGCGUGCGGGAUGACGGCCUUCGGGUUGUAAACCGCUUUCGCCUGUGACGAAGCGUGAGUGACGGUAAUGGGUAAAGAAGCACCGGCUAACUACGUG
rnacentral:rRNA from 1 species